GACGAACGCUGGCGGCGUGCUUAACACAUGCAAGUCGAACGGAAAGGCCCUGCUUUUGUGGGGUGCUCGAGUGGCGAACGGGUGAGUAACACGUGAGUAGCCUGCCCUUGACUUCGGGAUAACUUCAGGAAACUGGGGCUAAUACCGGAUAGGAGCUCCUGCUGCAUGGUGGGGGUUGGAAAGUUUCGGCGGUUGGGGAUGGACUCGCGGCUUAUCAGCUUGUUGGUGGGGUAGUGGCUUACCAAGGCUUUGACGGGUAGCCGGCCUGAGAGGGUGACCGGCCACAUUGGGACUGAGAUACGGCCCAGACUCCUACGGGAGGCAGCAGUGGGGAAUAUUGCACAAUGGGCGGAAGCCUGAUGCAGCAACGCCGCGUGCGGGAUGACGGCCUUCGGGUUGUAAACCGCUUUCGCCUGUGACGAAGCGUGAGUGACGGUAAUGGGUAAAGAAGCACCGGCUAACUACGUG
rnacentral:rRNA from 1 species